rnacentral:rRNA from 1 species
GACGAACGCUGGCGGCGUGCUUAACACAUGCAAGUCGAACGGAAAGGCCCUGCUUUUGUGGGGUGCUCGAGUGGCGAACGGGUGAGUAACACGUGAGUAACCUGCCCUUGACUUUGGGAUAACUUCAGGAAACUGGGGCUACUACCGGAUAGGAGCUCCUGCUGCAUGGUGGGGGUUGGAAAGUUUCGGCGGUUGGGGAUGGACUCGCGGCUUAUCAGCUUGUUGGUGGGGUAGUGGCUUACCAAGGCUUUGACGGGUAGCCGGCCUGUGAGGGUGACCGGCCACAUUGGGACUGAGAUACGGCCCAGACUCCUACGGGAGGCAGCAGUGGGGAAUAUUGCACAAUGGGCGGAAGCCUGAUGCAGCAACGCCGCGUGCGGGAUGACGGCCUUCGGGUUGUAAACCGCUUUCGCCUGUGACGAAGCGUGAGUGACGGUAAUGGGUAAAGAAGCACCGGCUAACUACGUG